GAUGAACGCUGGCGGCGUGCCUAAUACAUGCAAGUCGAGCGAACGGACGAGAAGCUUGCUUCUCUGAUGUUAGCGGCGGACGGGUGAGUAACACGUGGAUAACCUACCUAUAAGACUGGGAUAACUUCGGGAAACCGGAGCUAAUACCGGAUAAUAUUUUGAACCGCAUGGUUCAAAAGUGAAAGACGGUCUUGCUGUCACUUAUAGAUGGAUCCGCGCUGCAUUAGCUAGUUGGUAAGGUAACGGCUUACCAAGGCAACGAUGCAUAGCCGACCUGAGAGGGUGAUCGGCCACACUGGAACUGAGACACGGUCCAGACUCCUACGGGAGGCAGCAGUAGGGAAUCUUCCGCAAUGGGCGAAAGCCUGACGGAGCGACGCCGCGUGAGUGAUGAAGGUCUUCGGAUCGUAAAACUCUGUUAUUAGGGAAGAACAUAUGUGUAAGUAACUGUGCACAUCUUGACGGUACCUAAUCAGAAAGCCACGGCUAACUACGUGCCAGCAGCCGCGGUAAUACGUAGGUGGCAAGCGUUAUCCGGAAUUAUUGGGCGUAAAGCGCGCGUAGGCGGUUUUUUAAGUCUGAUGUGAAAGCCCGCGGCUCAACCGUGGAGGGUCAUUGGAAACUGGAAAACUUGAGUGCAGAAGAGGAAAGUGGAAUUCCAUGUGUAGCGGUGAAAUGCGCAGAGAUAUGGAGGAACACCAGUGGCGAAGGCGCCUUUCUGGUCUGUAACUGACGCUGAUGUGCGAAAGCGUGGGGAUCAAACAGGAUUAGAUACCCUGGUAGUCCACGCCGUAAACGAUGAGUGCUAAGUGUUAGGGGGUUUCCGCCCCUUAGUGCUGCAGCUAACGCAUUAAGCACUCCGCCUGGGGAGUACGACCGCAAGGUUGAAACUCAAAGGAAUUGGCGGGGACCCGCACAAGCGGUGGAGCAUGUGGUUUAAUUCGAAGCAACGCGAAGAACCUUACCAAAUCUUGACAUCCUUUGACAACUCUAGAGAUAGAGCUUUCCCCUUCGGGGGACAAAGUGACAGGUGGUGCAUGGUUGUCGUCAGCUCGUGUCGUGAGAUGUUGGGUUAAGUCCCGCAACGAGCGCAACCCUUAAGCUUAGUUGCCAUCAUUAAGUUGGGCACUCUAAGUUGACUGCCGGUGACAAACCGGAGGAAGGUGGGGAUGACGUCAAAUCAUCAUGCCCCUUAUGAUUUGGGCUACACACGUGCUACAAUGGACAAUACAAAGGGCAGCGAAACCGUGAGGUCAAGCAAAUCCCAUAAAGUUGUUCUCAGUUCGGAUUGUAGUCUGCAACUCGACUACAUGAAGCUGGAAUCGCUAGUAAUCGUAGAUCAGCAUGCUACGGUGAAUACGUUCCCGGGUCU
rnacentral:rRNA from 1 species